CGGGGGCGGAGCCUGGCCGCGGGCGCCCGCUGUAAACAGACAACAUGGCGGUGGCGGCGGCUCCCGGCGCUCUGGGCGCCCUGGGAGCGGGUCGCGUCCGCCUGGUGGCUGCGUGCUGCGCGCGCCUCGGCCCCGCGGCCUGGGCUGGCGGUCCCGCUCCGAGGAGGGGCUACAGCUCCGAGGUGAAGACGGAGGAUGAGCUGCGCGUGCGGCACCUGGAGGAGGAGAACCGAGGAAUUGUGGUGCUUGGAAUUAACAGAGCUUACGGAAAAAAUUCACUCAGCAAAAACCUUCUCAAAAUGUUAUCAAAAGCUGUGGAUGCAUUGAAAUCGGAUAAGAAAGUUCGGACCAUUAUCAUCAGAAGUGAGGUCCCUGGGAUAUUCUGUGCUGGUGCUGACCUUAAGGAAAGAGCCAAAAUGCAUUCCAGUGAAGUCGGCCCCUUUGUCUCCAAAAUACGAGCGGUGAUCAAUGACAUUGCUAACCUCCCUGUGCCCACGAUCGCAGCCAUAGACGGACUUGCCCUCGGUGGGGGUCUUGAGCUGGCUUUAGCAUGCGACAUCCGAGUAGCAGCUUCCUCUGCAAAGAUGGGCCUGGUUGAAACAAAGCUGGCAAUUAUUCCUGGUGGAGGAAUUGCUUCAGGUCGUCACAGGCUGUUUGUCUCUCCUCCACCUUUCAGGAGGGACACAGAGAUUACCACGCGCCAUUGGGAUGUCCCUGGCCAAGGAGCUCAUCUUCUCGGCACGCGUUCUCGACGGUCAGGAGGCCAAGGCUGUGGGCUUGAUCAGCCACGUGCUAGAACAGAACCAGGAGGGGGACGCUGCCUACAGGAAGGCUCUGGACUUGGCGAGAGAGUUUCUACCUCAGGCCUACCCGAGUGGACGUGUCUGCGCCAGCCCACUGUCACUGCAGCCCAUGCGGAGUACAUCAUACGGGCCUGUUGCAAUGAGAGUGGCCAAACUAGCAAUUAACCAAGGGAUGGAGGUCGACUUAGUAACGGGAUUAGCCAUAGAGGAGGCUUGCUAUGCUCAGACCAUCUCAACGAAAGACAGAUUGGAAGGUCUUCUUGCUUUUAAGGAGAAAAGACCCCCUCGCUAUAAAGGAGAGUAGGAGGACAGCCAAGAUGCCCUGUAGUGCUGGAAGCCUUUCAGAUCCGCCCCGUGCCUCGGGGACCUCAAUGACCAAAGCGGAGAGUGGGCUCGCGCUGUGCCUGGAGCAGGCCCAUCUGUGCUCAAGCCACCGUGCGCCAUGCCGUAUUUAUUCAGACUUACAAGCUAGCUGUCUGUGGUCAAAACACAAAAAUUAGGUGUAUGUUUUUAAUAUUUCCCGCAUAUCAGGCUUUGUCGUUAAUUUUUUAAUGUGAAUAAUUUAUAUUGCACACUCUAGGGAGUAACUGAUUGUAUGUCUACUGUGCUGCAUUAAAAUAAAAUUAUUUCUGUAUACCAAAAAAGGUGAAGCCACACCAAACAAA